rnacentral:rRNA from 1 species
CCAGACUCCUACGGGAGGCAGCAGUGGGGGAUAUUGCACAAUGGGGGGAACCCUGAUGCAGCGACGCCGCGUGGGUGAAGGAGUAUUUCGGUAUGUAAAGCCCUAUCGGCAGGGAAGAAGGAGGACGGUACCUGACUAAGAAGCACCGGCUAAAUACGUGCCAGCAGCCGCGGUAAUACGUAUGGUGCAAGCGUUAUCCGGAUUUACUGGGUGUAAAGGGAGCGCAGGCGGCACGCUAAGCCUGAUGUGAAAACCCGCGGCCCAACCGCGGGAGUGCAUUGGGAACUGGCGAGCUAGAGUACCGGAGGGGCAGGCGGAAUUCCUGGUGUAGCGGUGAAAUGCGUAGAUAUCAGGAGGAACACCGGCGGCGAAGGCGGCCUGCUGGACCGCUACUGACGUUGAGGCUCGAAAGCGUGGGGAGCGAACAGGAUUAGAUACCCGUGUAAG